rnacentral:lncRNA from 1 species
UUUUGUUCUAAGUUGAUCAAGGAAUAUUUCAUCUGAUACAUGAAAAGACAAUGAAGACUGCUAGCUAUUGGAAUGCUUGCUUGGAUGUGGCUAUCUUUAUUUGAUGUCUUGAUCUUCAUGAUGUUUGGAUAUUAUUCAUUUCUUAUUGAUCAUUGCUUGAUUAAAGUCCAAAGGAAAAUGGGUUUCUAUAUGACAUUCUUGUCUGUUGGAUUGCAUUCCAUUGGUCAGAUCUUUUCAACUCUUAAAUUUUAAAUUUGUGCUUAGGAUAGC